UACCAUUACUCAUUCAUUUGCCAGCAUGACAAAUUAGUACACUCACACACACAUCAUACGAACGGGCAACAUGGAUCCACCACAGUGUUCAUACCUCAGACUUUUCCCGACACCACGCCCCUAUCAACAGACGCCCCAAUCCCGACCACGCCCCCUGACACAGACGCCCCUAUACCUACAACCCAGCCAAUCACAGAUGCACCCGUUCCUACAACUCAGCCCCAAACAGACGCCCCUAUACCUACAACCCAGCCUAUCACAGAUGCACCAGUUCCCACAACCCCGCCCCAAACAGAUGCACCUGUACCCACCACGCCUCCUGAUACACAGGCACAGAUCUCAACAACAGGGGACAGUGCUGGAGUUUUAAUCAUCGGAUAACAACCUGUAGAUGUGUGCCGACUAUCUUCUGUUAUUGACGCCAAUAAAUGUUACGUCGUGU
rnacentral:misc_RNA from 1 species